GCCCGCGGUAUCCUAACCGUGCAAAGGUAGCGUAAUCAUUUGUUCUUUAAAUAAGGACUAGUAUGAACGGCGAUAUGAGGAUUAAAUUGUCUUUCAUGAUAGUUCUAUGAAACUGAUCUUUCAGUACAAAAGCUGAAAUAAACCCACAAGACGAGAAGACCCUGUGGAGCUUUACAGUUUUUAGUUGGGGCGACUUUGGAGAAAAACGAAACCUCCAAAAAGACCCAAUAUACUUGAUCAAUGAACCAAGUUACCCCAGGGAUAACAGCGCAAUCUUCUUCAAGAGUCCCUAUCGACAAGAAGGUUUACGACCUCGAUGUUGGAUCAGGAUACCCAAAUAGUGCAGCCGCUAUUAAAGGUUCGUUUGUUCAACGAUUAAUAUCCUACGUGAUCU
rnacentral:rRNA from 1 species